rnacentral:lncRNA from 1 species
ACCAGCCCUGAGGCCCCCUCUCCUCACAGAGCCCCCGGGGGGGGGCGCUGGGCGGGCGUCCUCCCCUCCUUCCCGCCCGCCGCCGCUGGGUGGCGCGCGCGGCCCGCUGAGGGGAGGCGAGGCGGCGGGCAGGCCCCGCCGGGGGCCGUGAGGCGGAGCGGCGGCCGGGGGCGGAGCGGGGGCCGCCGGCUGCUCGGCCGGGACCCGGCGAGGCGAUGCUGCGGCCGGGGACACCGCCGGAGCCCCGGGCGGGGGCUGAGGACAGCGAGAUGGAUGUGGCUGCUACUCUAUCAUUUGUUUUUGUGGAAACCGAGUCCUCUGGCGGCUAAGGAGAAUCAACAGUGGAUAGAAGGGAACUUUAAAAUGCCAUCUGGAAGUGGUGCUGUUGUGCCUUUGGCUAAGGUUUUGGGAUACGUUCAAACGUCACUGCUCCCCUCACUACCUAUUUUCUUUGUCAGUACUAGCCUUGGUGUGGCUCUGUUAUGAAUUGAGUUGAACUGAUCUGAGUUAACGUGAUUUGGCAAAGAAAUUAAUGGUUAAUUUUCAACCCAGAAUAGCUUUCUGAUUCAUUCUGCUGAGAAUGUUUCUCCUCUCGCAUGGAAAGUGUUGAUUUUAGGGGCAUAAGUGAGUGAUGGAAGAGGAUAGACUAUUUUUGUCGUCGAUGUCAGCUUAUAUAAUUUUAAAGUGAUUGUGGAAUUACUGUCUUAACUAAGGAGGACUUGGCACCCUAUGUUUUCAUCAUAACUUUGAAAUAUAUUUAAUGGGCUUUAUUUCAGAUCUUAGUGAUAAAUAUACAGUAAUUCCUAGAAUCACCCGCAAGGAGCUCCUAUGGUCUGCUUAGUAAGCACCUAAUUAAAGAUAAUUGUAAAUGUGUUGCUUACGCUGAUUUGCAGCAGGUUCCUUUUAACCAUUUCUGAAGGUGUUGUAAACGUUCUGAGCCCCUAAUAAUGUUGUUUUCCUCUCUUGCAGUUGAUAAGUAACUGCUAAUUAUUUGGAGCCAAGUUUUUGUUUUUUUAGACACAUAAUUUUGGCUUUUUUUUCUUGCCUACUGUGGUCUUCUAGUAGCAUGCCUUGAAGAAAUAGUGUUAAGGUUUGUUUGCAUCUAUUUUUUAUUGUUUUGUAUUAUUGUUGUCUUCUGUUAUGUUUCAGGCUGUGCAACACUUAAGAGUGAA